rnacentral:rRNA from 1 species
UACGUAGGGUGCAAGCGUUGUCCGGAAUUAUUGGGCGUAAAGAGCUCGUAGGCGGUUUGUUGCGUCGGCUGUGAAAACCUGAGGCUCAACCUCAGGCCUGCAGUCGAUACGAGCAGACUAGAGUGUUGCAGGGGAGACUGGAAUUCCUGGUGUAGCGGUGAAAUGCGCAGAUAUCAGGAGGAACACCGGUGGCGAAGGCGGGUCUCUGGGCCGUAACUGACGCUGAGGAGCGAAAGCGUGGGGAGCGAACAGG